GGGCGGCUAGCGAGCAGAUCAGUGGUGAAGAGGAUAAAAUUACAGGUAGUCAUGUGACCCCGAGGUGUGUGCCGUAGUCUGCUGGUCACUUCCUCUUCACCUCCGGCUGCGCCAUCUUAAGGAAGGAAAAAUGUUCAGCACGCUGUGGGAAUCGUCAAAGAACUCGCCAUUCAGCCGGCCAUUUGAGGCUCAUUGUGAUGCCCCAAAUAAGGAACUUGUGAAAAGAAGGAACAUUUCUGCAGCUAAUGCUGGGGGUGACAGUUGUGAAUAUGGCUCUUUGAAAUAUUAUGCCUUAUGUGGCUUUGGUGGACUCCUGAGCUGUGGUAUUACUCAUACUGCAGUGGUACCUCUCGAUCUGGUCAAAUGCAGAAUUCAGGUUAAUCCAGACAAAUACAAAGGAAUCUUUAA